rnacentral:lncRNA from 1 species
CAUUUUGAAAGUUUUGGUCUACUCUUUCAAGCAUGUUGACCAGUUGGUAAUAUUGGCAGUUUCUGUUCGGAUGUUAUUCCAGGACGCAUUAUCAACGCAUCAAAAUGACCCGAGGAGGGACCAAGGAGGUUUAAAAAAUCAGGGCAAGAGAGAGGAGGCUGGCUAA